CGUACACUCCUACGGGAGGCAGCAGUGGGGAAUAUUGCACAAUGGGCGCAAGCCUGAUGCAGCCAUGCCGCGUGUAUGAAGAAGGCCUUCGGGUUGUAAAGUACUUUCAGCGGGGAGGAAGGCGAUAAGGUUAAUAACCUUGUUGAUUGACGUUACCCGCAGAAGAAGCACCGGCUAACUCCGUGCCAGCAGCCGCGGUAAUACGGAGGGUGCAAGCGUUAAUCGGAAUUACUGGGCGUAAAGCGCACGCAGGCGGUCUGUCAAGUCGGAUGUGAAAUCCCCGGGCUCAACCUGGGAACUGCAUUCGAAACUGGCAGGCUAGAGUCUUGUAGAGGGGGGUAGAAUUCCAGGUGUAGCGGUGAAAUGCGUAGAGAUCUGGAGGAAUACCGGUGGCGAAGGCGGCCCCCUGGACAAAGACUGACGCUCAGGUGCGAAAGCGUGGGGAGCAAACAGGAUUAGAAACCCCUGUAGUCCCAUG
rnacentral:rRNA from 1 species